AUAAUCGAAGGGCUUCCAGCGUAGGGCGUAGGGGGAGAGGCCCGAAGCCCUGGAGACAGCGCCCGAGGGAUGGAGGCCGCGCUCGGCUGCGCUCAGGUCCGGGUGGCUCCGGGAGCUGAGACCCCGCAGGAUGCAGCGGGGGGGGGCCAGGGCCUGAUCCCCUACCCCUGCGAGCCAGGGCCGCCUACGCCCCCACUGCUUCCCACAGGUAACGUCCAGCCCUCUCCUCCCCUAUCCCCCGAAAUAUCCCGGUUCCGCUCCGCUCCGCUCGCCGCCCGUGACCCCGACCCCGACCCGUCCGCGACGGCGCCCUCCCCAGGAGGCAGCGGAGGACUAGGGCCAGGCCGCCCACCCUGGCGGCGGCGGCGGCUCCCGGCCAAGGCGGACCCUGGGGAGGACAGCAGCUGGGCCGCGGCCUGUCCCUAGGGGGAGCGGGCGCAGGGCCGCGAGUGGGCAGCGCCUCCGCCCCGCACGAACAAAGCGGCCAGGCGCGCCGGGCCGAGGCAGCACCGCCUCUCCGGGAGCGCGGGGGGCGGGGAGGAUGGCGGGGGUACUCACCUGAGGGCCGGCGGAGGGCGCGGGCGGGACAGGCCCAGGAGACGGGACCGCGGCGGGCCGGGGCUCCGCGCCGAGGGCGCACGGGCUACGGGGAAGGGGCGACCGGCGCGACGUCCGCGGCGGGGCCCGGGAGCCCCGCGCCGCGGGCCGGGGGCCGGGGCCCGAGCUCGAUUCUGCGGCCGCGAGGUAUGGGAACCGGUCCGCCGGGCCAGGCAGCGGUGCUAGGCAGCAGGGGCAGCGACGCCGCCGCCUUUCCCUUCUCCUGCCCCCGUCCCUGCUCCGCCGCGUCCUCGUCCUCGCUGGGUCCCCGCCGCCGCCGCCUCAGCCUCGGCGCUCCUCGGGUUUCUUCUCUCCAUCAAGGCCGGGCCGACCCGCAGGGACCAUCCCGGAAAGUGAGGGGUUGUUGCCGUUUCCCGCAGCUGUUGGUGGCCAUCUUUAAUCCUCCUCCUCCUCCUGCUUUCUCCACCUCCCGCUGGCUGUCUGACUGACUGACUGGAUCCUCCUCUUUCCCCUCCUGCUCCUCCUACUGAGCCGGCCGCAGAAAUUGCAGCCGCUCAGCUUCUACCCCCUCCUGCCUUUCCUUCCUCUUUCCUUACUUCCUUCCCUUCCCUCGGCUUCCCGCUCUUGCCUCACUCUCAGCGGCUGCCUUCGCCCCUGUCUGCAGACAGCGCCGCUGGAUGCUCCCAGCUGGACUUCAACCCCACUCCUCUCAGUCCCUCUCCCCACUGCCUUCCAGACGCGCCUCUUCCCCGCCCCGCGCCCCUCUCUCCUCUCCCACCCCUGCCCCUCUCCGCGGCGCUCACCCUCCUCAGUCCCAGUUUCUGAAAGGACUCAGCUGAGAAAGGACAACUGGGUUCCGCUUUCCUUAACCCUACACCCUUUAGCUGGAUGCUGUCAGAGGCGAUGGAGAAACGCAAAGGCUACUAGACGCAACAAUAGAAUUACCAUAUUGUUUUUCCUGGUUUGAAAGGACCAGAUGGAAAGAAACUGGGCAAGCCAAUGAAAGUCUCUGGGGAUCAUGGGAAUUGAGUGUCUAUGAAAACCAUAUUCCAGACAAGAAUAUAGUCUAAGGACACAGCAAGAGGCAACAUUUUGGAAGCAGAGGGCAACUCUCACUGGAAACCAAAUCUCCUGGCACCUUGAUCUUGGAUUUUACAGCCUCCAGAACUGAUAGCUGGGAGGCAUUACAUAGUCAUGUGCGAGGUCAAAACUGAGUCACCACCACAACCAAGUUCCAGCUGGCAAGAAGAGGAAAAAUAACACAGAGGAGUUAUGACCAGUGUUGUAAGGAUCUGGCCUAGAAAUGGCAUGCAUCUCUUCCACUAAUAUCCUAUUGGUAAAAAUGUAGUCACAUGGGCACACCACCUAUCUGCAUGGAAGGCUGGGAAAUGUUGAUCGGUAGGGCAGCCAUAUGUGUAGGAAGGAGAAAACAGAAUUUGGUGGAUACCUAGUAGUCUCUGCCAUACCCUUGACCAGAAAUUUUUCUUCUAAAGAAUUUAAUUCUAAAAGUUAUAGACAUUCCCAAAGAUAUACCUGCAAGCAUCACAGCUUUGUGUAUAAUUGCAAAAGUUGAAAUCAACAUGAAUGCCCAAAAUAGUGAAUUAUUUAAACAGAUUAUUACCCAUAUUAUGAAGAAAUACUCUGCAACUCUUAAAAAUAAAUGUAAUGUGCCAGGCGCAAUGGGAUAUGCCUGCAGGCCCAGCUACACGGGAGGCCAAGGCAGGAGGAUCACUUGAAAUCAAGAGUUCAAGUCUAGCCUAGACAACAUAGUGAGACUUGGUCUCUAAAAAAGAAAAAAAAAAAUAAAACUGAUGUAAUGAAUAUAUAAUUACAACAAAAGAGGUCUAACACUAUAGUAGAAAAGUUUGGGGCACUCAUCCCAUUCAUAAUUAUUUUACAUUUAAAUUACUGUUCCUACUUAAGUGGUGAGCUUGGUAACCAUUUUCAUAUCAGGUGAUACUGCUGCAGUAAUCAUAGCUGUUUGAAUCAGGAAUAAUCCCAAUCACAUUUUCUCUUAAUCGUUUAUUAUACUGGGCAUUGGGGUUGCAAGAUAAUGCACAGUCCGAGCUCAAUACAUGUCUUCAUGUACCUGUAUGUAAAUCCCACUUUUAUUCUAAAAUUCUUUGAAUAUUUUGUUUCUUGGAACCCAAUGAUCCUAAGAAAAUUAUGUACUUUUACCUGAAAAUUAAAACCAAUAUUUAUAAAAAGUGUAUAUGCAGUAUGAUACCACUUUUAAAAAAAGAUAAAUUUAUAGAAAAAAGUUUAUAUGACUGACAACAAUGUCUCUGAGUGGUAGGAUUACAGUUAAUUUUUAUUUUCUUCAUUCUACUUAUCUUUAUUUUCUGAACUUUCUACAAUGAACAUGUUUUAUUUUUACUUUUGUUAAAAUAAAUAACAUUUAAUUUGACGGAAAAUUCUAAAAAUCAACAUUUGGUAACUUAAAUAUUCAUUGGCACAUGAUUCUGUGCCUGUUUCUGGGGGUCAUUCCCAUGAGAAGAGCAGGUAGAACUUAUGAGAAUAGAGCAGUCGAAAUAUUAUAGGUUUCAUAUUUUACGGCUUUAUUGAAAACAUUGAUAUAUUGAAUAUUCAUAAAUUUUAAUUUAACUUUCUUUUAUAAUCCUUAAUGUGAGGCUAAGGUAUAAGGAGAAAGGAGAUUGGUAAGGAAGUGUGAUACAUAUUGAAUCAGGUGUCAAGGUACCAUUUGUGCCUGGAUCUGACCAAUAGACCAAGGUAAAAAUCUCAAAGAAUGAGACUUGUAAUGAGAAUGCCACAAACUUGAAUACCUUAUGCACAAAACACAAACAUUGUUAUGCAUAAUGUACAUGAACCCUGAAACAAAGAUAAUGAUUUGGACCACCCAACUGAAGUGGCAUGUUAUGUUUUUGGCAUGAACAAAAGAAACAAGAGAGAAAAAAAUCAAAAUAAUUAAAAUAAAUUGUUAGAGAAAAGUUACUUUAAAAAUAGCUAUAACGCUUUGCAAUUUCAGUAACAGUUCUGCCUCUGAUGCAAUGUAAAACAUGUAUUAGACAUUCAGGCUCCACAAUAAAUUUUAAUGAGCACUACAAAUUUAGAAUAUAUAAAAAUAUCAGUAACCUAUGAAUUCAUCAACAUAACUCACUUUUCAGUUAAGUUAGGCUGAGUUGAAAUUCUACUAAGUUUUCCCAUAUUCUUGAUAAAGGCUAAAUUUGAAAUAAUUUAUUUAGAUGACUAAUUGGCAAUUUGAUAGUAGUUACAUUUUAUGUAACACUUGAUAUAAUAACCCAAAUUAAUUAGCUCAAUAUUAUCUUCUGUGGUUUAUUGAUCCAAAAGUACAUAUUUGUUAUGUAAACUUAUACUAUGUAAACUUGAAUUAGUUUUUUGCUUCCUUGAAUUAAUAAAGCCCAUUAAUGCAAAUCUAAGCCUUCAUAGACUUUUCCAAUCCUUAGUUAAAUAUUAAAAACUGAGUAUUGUAGUUAUUUGCUAGGUAUAAAAGGUGACUCAGAGUAGAGAGUAAGAUGUCAGCAAAUAGACAAUAAGAUGUCAGCAAAAGUGCCUCAAAUUUUAACUGCGUCAAGUUAAGGGCAUUGUAAAUACUGUAGUUUUAUGUAGCUUGCAACUUCUACUGAAAUGAGUUUAAUCAUGUCUUUCACAUAGCUGAAGUUUGUGUCAAGAUUUAAGCUGAUUUUCUCAUUCUUAUCAAAGUCUCACCUGGGGGUAGGGAGGGGUAGGCCUACCUCCCACCUCUAUACUAUCAUUUUAGGAACAGACAGGCAUAAAUCUGUUCAUAUGGUAGAACACAUGAUGUUAGAGUAUAUUUUGUUGAAUGCUAUGGAAUAUUAAUAUAAUUAAUUCUAAAAUAUCACCUAAAAUAUGUCAACUGAAGAUCUGACUGUACUAAAUAUGAAAAAUAAAGCAGCACAUACUUUCUCUACUGUUUUCCUG
rnacentral:lncRNA from 1 species